AGCACAGUUCUACUCCAAGACUCUACAGGCCAAGAAAAUCAAACUCACGUCGUCAAAAUGGAGAAACUUUUCAUCGUCUUGGUUAUCUGCGCAUUGAUCGCCCAAAUCAUGGCUGCACCACAAUUGGAACUUCUUGGAGGAGCAUUAAGCGCAGCGACCGGGAUAGCAGGAGCAGCGGCCGGGGUAGCAACAAAUGCAGUGGGUGGCU